AUGGAGCUAAGCGCAGCCACCCUGCUUCUCUCUCUCGCCGUCGUCUCACUGGUGGUCCUUUGUUCCUUGCUUAGCCGUAAAUCUUCGGCAAGUUCCAAGAAGAGGCGGCCUCCAGGUCCAUGGUGUCUCCCCUUGAUCGGCAACCUCCUCCACCUCUUCACCUCCCAGCCACAGGCAGCGCUACGGGGCCUGGCCCAGAAGCACGGCCCGGUGAUGUCCCUGCGGCUGGGCCAAAUCAACGCCGUCGUCAUCUCCUCGCCUGCGGCGGCGCAGGAGGUGCUCCGGGACAAGGACCUUACCUUCGCGUCGCGGCCGAACCUGCUCACCGCGGAAAUCAUCCUCUACGGGAGCAUGGACAUCGCCUUCGCGCCGUACGGGGCGUACUGGAGGACGCUGCGCAAGCUCUGCAUGAUGGAGCUCCUCGGCGCGCACAAGGUGCGGCAGCUCGCGUCCGUCCGGGAUGGCGAGACCCGUUCCCUCGUGAGGAAGGUCGACGCCGCGGGCCGAGGUGGCCAGCCAGUCAACCUCGGAAGUCUGCUCUGCUCGUGCUCGAUUGGGAUCACCGGAAAGGCGACGUUUGGGCAGCUGUGUGGCACGGAGCUUCAGGAACAGUACAUGCCGGUCAUCGAGGUGGCUGUGAAAGAAGGCGCGGGGUUCAGCGCCAGGGACCUCUUCCCGUCUCUGUGGUUCGUGGACGUCGCCACUGGGCUGACACGCCGGCGGUGGCGAACGCGCCGUCAGCUGGACGCCAUAUUUGACAAGAUGAUCGGCGAGUGCGAGGCACAGCGAGCGGCGACCAAGACCAUCGGAGAUGAUGAAGAAGAAGAGCACCUCCUGAGCGCCUUGCUUAGGAUCAAGGACGAGGGCAAGCUGGAGGUCCCCAUCAGUAUGACAAGCAUCAAAGCAAUCUUAUUUGACAUGCUCACCGGAGGAACGGAGACAACGUCGUCAGCCGCUGAGUGGAUCAUGUCGGAGCUCAUGAGGAACCCCGAGGCGCUGGCCAAAGCACAGGCUGAGGUUCGGCAAGCACUGGAUGGCAAGAGCCCGCAGGAGCAUGAGGGCCUCAUGGACAAGCUACGGUACACAAGGAUGGUCAUCAAGGAGGGCCUCAGGCUGAACCCAGUGCUGCCGCUCCUUCUCCCCCGACUCUGCCGAGAGACCUGCAACGUCGGCGGGUUCGAGGUCGCCAAGGGCACCACGGUCAUCGUCAACGCUUGGGCGAUGGCGCGGAGCCCCGAGCAUUGGCCCGACGCGGAGGAGUUCCGGCCGGAGAGGUUCGACGGUGGCGCGGUAGACUUCAAAGGCGGUUUGCAGUUGGAGUACCUCCCGUUCGGUAGCGGAAGGAGGAUGUGUCCCGGAGAUACCUUCGGGCUCGCCGUGCUGGAGCUCAUCAUGGCACGGCUUAUCUACUACUUUGACUGGAGCCUCCCCGAUGGGAUGCGGCCGGAUGAGCUCGACAUGGACAUGAUCGUCGGCACGACGGCAAGGAGAAAGAACCAGCUUCGUCUAUUAGCAUCGCCGUGCAAGGAGCUCCCAGUGGAAAUCUGA
rnacentral:rRNA from 1 species